rnacentral:lncRNA from 1 species
AAAACUCUUCUAUCAGUUUAUCAAUUUAUAUAAAAUUAAUAAUUUGGAUUAAUUUUAUACAGAUCCUUACAAAUAUAAUGACUGAUAAAUACAUCCCUACAAAGUUUAACUUUCAUAUAUUGUUCAUACAAAAAUCUUAAUAUUUUUAAAUAUGUCCCUGCCGUUAGAAUCCGUUAGUUAACCAUAGGUUAAAUAUUUAAUCCCAAUUAACUUUUGAUAUUUUUACCCUUUUUAUAUUAUACUGUUAUAAUUUUUGGAGAGAUAUAUUUGUGAUGACAAAAUUGAAAAAAAAAAUAGUUCUCUAACGGAUUCUCUAAUAAUAACAAACUAGAGAGAUAUAUUUAAAAAUAUCAUGACUUUUGUAAGAACGACAUAUAAAAAUUGAAGUUUAUAGAAAUAUAUUUAUCAUUCACUAUAUUUACAAGACCUUAGUACGAAAUUAACUCAUAUAUUAAAUACUCUCUUCAAUAUAUUGGUCCUUCCAUUAUUUUUUUAAUACUUAAUAAGACUUUGCUUUUUAAUAAUCACGCAAAAAUCAAAAUAAAAACAAGCGUAAUAUAUAUUUUUUUAUCAUAUUUCUCAUAACAUACUGUAAUUUCAAAUAAAAUCUUAAUUCAGUUGAAAUAACAACUAAAAAUAUAAAAUAAUUAAAUUAAAACUUCGAAUUUGAAACUUCAGAUACCAAGAGUCCAGCUGGGAUACUAUCGAUAGCACCAAGCAUUUGGUGCUAUCAAGUUUUCGGUCGUUAGAUUUAACCCUUGAACUAUUUUUACCCGUUAAAUUAUACUAUUAAACCAAUAACUCACUCAACCCUAGAGGGCUCAUAUCAUCAUAACCGUACAUUUUUUUCAUCCAAGGGCCGAAAACUUAAUAGCACCAACAAGUUGGUGUUAUUAAUAGUAUUCCAGCCUAGUUCCAUAUGGUAAUUGAUAGUAUUUCAGCCUAGUUCCAGAUACCAAUCAUCGAGUUAUUAGCCAACUG